GACGAACCGUGCGAACGUUGUUCGGAUUCACUGGGCUUAAAGGGCGCGUAGGCGGGCGGUCAAGUCGGGGGUGAAAUCUUUCCGCUUAACGGGAAGCGUGCCUCCGAUACUGUCCGCCUCGAGGGAGGUAGGGGCAUGUGGAACUUCCGGUGGAGCGGUGAAAUGCGUAGAUAUCGGAAGGAACGCCGGUGGCGAAAGCGACGUGCUGGACCUCUUCUGACGCUGAGGCGCGAAAGCUAGGGGAGCAAACAGG
rnacentral:rRNA from 1 species